CUCAAAUUCAAUGACACAAGAGAGGUAGCUUCAACCAGAACAUGGGGUAUAGGUCCUAUUAGUUCAUUGCUUUCCAAAUGUAAAAACUUCAUGUUUGUUAGAUUGGCACAAAGAGGAAGGGUCGGGCCAAUUUUGUUGUGAGAAAGGUCUAAAAAACGUAGUUCAUUGAGUUUGCAAAAGCCUGUUGGCACAACACCAUCCAAAUAAUUUCUAGACAAGAUAAGUGUCUCCAAGGCUAAGAAGUCUCCAAUCCAAUCUGGAAUUUGACCCAUCAACGAGUUGGAGCUGACAUCCAACAAUAGUAGGAAAGAGCUAUUCAAAAAUCCACGAGAAAUCUCUCCCCAUAAGUCAUUGUUAUCCAAAGACAAAGAGGAUAACCGUGUCAAGUUAGAUUUUGUGGGAAGAGUGUCAUGUAAACUGUUGUUGGAUAACUUUAAAACCUCCAAUGAGAUGCAACCCAUCAUCAUGUGCUCAGGUAGUUGUCCCGAGAGAUUAUUGUUUGACAAAUCUAAGGAUCGCAAUUGUUCCAUGUCACUCAUCGAGGAAGGAAUAUUACCUUGUAAUGCAUUUCCAGACAAGUUUAAGACCUCCAACCUUGGAAAAAUAGAGCCUAUGAAAGGUGGAAGCUCUCCGUGAAUGCAAUUCGAGGAGAAAUCAAGCAAAAGCAUGUGGGAAUGUUUUGAACUUGAGCCCAAAUCAAGAACACCUGUCAAGCUGUUACUUUCAAAGCUUAGGUAUUCUAGUUUCGUAUUAUUGUCUAAUAACCAGGUUGGGACAUCUCCUGUCAUAUGGUUGUAGCUAAGGUCGACCACUCUCAAAUCAUGUUGACUCAAAAGAAAGCUGGGUACAACCCGGCUUGGCCAAUUGAGAGUGAAGUUGGAUAACCGGAGGAUUUUCAAUUGAAAUAGAGGAACUGACCAUGUUGGAUUUUCAAUCUCAACCUUCAAAUACUUGUUAUUGCUAGAAAGUUCGAAAACCUCGAGUCUGGAGUGGUUGAAGAGUGAACCAAAAUAGAUUGAGCCCUCGAAAUGAUUAUAAGAAAGAGAAAUGUACUCGAGUGACUUCAUAUUGGAGAAGAGAGAUGAAGGAAUAGUUCCAUGGAAAUCAUUUCUGGAUAGGUCAAGCAAACGUAGGGAUGUCAAAUUGUUGAGACACAUAGGAAGACUACCCUCAAAUCCAUUAUAACUAAGAUCCAACUCUUCAAGGUUGAGUUUGCACAAGCCUGCGAAAGUGAAACAUGUAAUUUAUAAUUACAAUUAAAAGUAGUGGCAACAACUAAGGGAAAAAUAUAUUUUGGAUUAUCUUGGUUGAUAAAUGUCACCACAAUUCCUAAGGUAACUUGUUGAUAAUUUUAAAUAUUUUUGUACUUAUAUUUUUAUUUUUAUUAAUAAUAAAUAUGUUUACCCUCCCAAUCUUUUUAUUUCUUGUUUUAGAAAAUAAAAUUCCCUAGCAUUUUUAAGAAGCCAAACAUGUACCUGUUAAGAAGAUAAAAUCUUUACUAGGAUUAGAUUUUAUGAAAAUAUUGGAUGAAAGUUCAAGAAAAGAAUUUUGAUGGGAUGAAAAAUGAUUAAAACUCGUGAAAAUAUGAAAAAUUUUGUAAGAAAUUAUAUAAAAAUAAUAAUAUAUGAAUUGGAAUUGUGUUUUAUUAAUAAUAAAUGUAAUCGUUAAUUUUUGUUAUGUAAAUACUAAAGCUAAGUAUAUGGUAAUCCUAGUAAAGAAAAAUCAAAGAUAAGGUCAGAAUAACUUAUAGUAUCGGGAUUGUCAUCCUCUGUGACCAAUACUAAUAUGUUUAGCUAUUAAAUUAGAAAAAUUAAAUAUUGGAUGAAACUAAAUUAAACCCUAAUCUAAAUAAAUAGAAAUAAAAAUUCGAAUGACAUUUUUUUAGAAUAUCUAAUAAAAGCUAAAUAAUGCAAAAGAAAAUAUUCAAGAAGAACACAAGUUUGAUUUCAAAUUCAUCAAAAGAAAGUGGAAUUUUUUAUUUAUUUUGAUGGUUGAAGAGUCAAUCCAAAAUCAAAUGAGAUCUUAAGAUUAGUUUAAAUUUGAAACCCUAAUUUGACGAAAAAGCCUAGAUCACAAAAGUAUUUUAAAUUAACCAUAAUCCUUGUUUCUCAUUUCGACAAUAAAUCCUAGAUUCAUCAAUGAAACUCAUCUCAAUCUCAUGUACCAUUAAUCAAAAUAAGUUGUUCGAUGAUUAAAAGGCAAUAUAGUAUUAUUAGAAUCAAAGUAAGCAUUGAUUGUCCUUAAAUUGAGAGAAACUAGUUAGAGAAAUAAUCAAUCAUAAUUUAAAUACAAAAAGAAAGAUUUUAGGUAUGAAUGUUACCACUCUUCUUUUCUUGAGAUUAAAAAUUUUGAUUUCAUAAAGGUGAAAUCACAAUUUUGAUUUGGGCAACGAUGAAAGUCAACAUCAAGAACUUCAUCUUUGCCAAAAUUGAUUUCUUAAGCAGAAUUCAGAAUUUUAGAUUAUAACAUAAUUGAAUCCAUUUCACUUCUCAAAAGUAGUUUUGUCAAGAUUGUUUUUAUUCACUUCUUUUAUUCUUGCCAGGAUGUCCUAAUUAUUCCCUAAAUUGCUUUCAUGCAUGUUUUCAACUUAACAAACAUUUUUUUUUUUUUUUGCUACUAAGUGGGUAGUAUUUUUUUUUAGGAAUAUUUUAUUAAAAGACUUCAAAUACUAUAAUUUUGAUUGAUUCUAUAUUGAUUAUUCAUGAAUUGCUUCUAAGAUGUUUUUUUUUUCUUUGAUUGAUUAUUGAUUAUCCUUAAGUUGACAUGUUUCCAAGUUGCUCUUUUUGAAAAUCAUACGAUGAUGUUAGUUAUUUGAAAACUUUUUUAUGAUGAUAAUUUGAUUAUUCAUGAGUUGAUUACAAGUUGUUGUUUUUUGAUAAUUCCAUUAUGAUUAAUAUUUAUGAGUUGUUAAGAUUUUUGAGUGUAGAGUAUUUUGAUUUUUUAGUUUAAGUAUUUUGAUAAUUGCAUGAUGAUUAAUAUUUAUGAUUUGUUAAAAAUUGUAAGUUCCUAAAUAUUUUUUAUUUUUUAAAGCGCAUGAUUGUUAGUUUAAGCAUUAUGAUAAUAACAUGUUUUGACAUUCGUUUGUAAAUUAUUGAUAAUUGCAUGAAGUUGAUUAAUUUUAUGUGUUGAUUGAUGCCUAUUAGGAUUAGGGUUAGGUUUGUUGUCUUUGUGUAGUUCUCACUCAAUUUAGGCUUUAUGAUUAUAAAUGAUAGGUAGUAUGGGGCUAUUCCAUUUGGUUUUGCAUUGUUAUUGGAUCUUUUCGUGGUUAUUUGUUAGUAAUGAUCAUAGAUGUUAAAUUUCAAUCCACUUAAUAUCAUACACUUUCAUGGGGUUGUUGAGUUUAGUAUUUUGUAUGCUUUAAUAUCCAUAAAGUCAAAAUUUCAAAAUAUAUAUUUUCUAAGAAACCAAAAGUCAAAUAGGGAACACUCCAAUAGGAAGAGUGGAUAGGUGAUUUAAAAAAAAAAAAAAAAUAUUUAUAUGUUAUACUCAAUUCUUUUACCCUGCGAGAUGUUAGAGAUAAACUUUUCUAUCAAUUAUAGGCAAUUCAAAUCGAAUAUAAAAUAUAUAGAUGAUAAGACAUAAGAUUUUUACGUAGAAAACCCCACACUAAUUGUGGAGAUGAAAAACCACUGGGUUUAAGAUAUAUUAAUCUAAAUCCAUUAUACGAAAUCAAGUUACACAUUUAUUUAUUCGUUUUACCAUAAAGACUUUUACUUUCCAAUACCUACAACUUGAUUCACGUUGGUGAUACAACAACCCUCGAUUGCUCUAGUGGAUCACUUUAGCCUUGUUGAAGGGAUGAAGGACUUCAAACCAAGAUUCAAAGGUCUAAUCAUUGAGUAAGAGAUUGGGAAUUGUAUGAUACUUUAGACUUUCUCUUUAGGAGACCCUCUUUAAGGAAUAUAAAGUCUCUCAAUGAUCCAUCUCUAAUCUCUAACCCUUAAAGGGGUUAAUAGGGAGGUAUUUUUAUGCAAAAACUUGAAGAGUUUCGGUUUUCGAAAAGUUUUAAACCAUAUUUGCAUGAGAAAUCUAGGUGAAAUUUGCAUUAUCACUCGAGCCAACUCACCCACUGCUUGAGUGCCUCAGGCUUGAGCGGUCCUAAGUACUUAAGUGCUCUAGGCCGCUUGAGCGCUCCUGCCAUGUUUCAAAAAUCAAUUUUAAAACCUUUUAAGUUCAAAACAAAAUUGAUCCCCUUAAUACCUCAAUGUAGCUUAAUUUGUCACAAGUCAAACCUUUUUAGAUGUACUUGUGAUUUCUCGGUUGGAUGAAUAACAACUCUUAAUCUUCAUUAAUGGAGAACAAGUCACUAUUUAAAAAGAAUUCUAUGACCAAACAUAAAAAGAAACAAAAUUAUCAAUAUAAAAACAAAACUCAAUGUCCUAAAUUUUUUCAAAGAAAAUUAAUCCAUAAGGUUUUCUUAAAAAAAUCAUCUUAGGUCAUUAGGGUUUAAAAAAGUCUUUUUUAAAAAAAAAAAAAAAAAUACAACCAAUUUCAAUUGGUAUACAUCUUUCCAUUGUUUUUUUAAAUAAAUUUUUAUUUCUGACACAUGAAUCAAAGUUCAUGAUUCCAAAUAAAAAUGAAUGAUUGUUGGCCUUGAUAAACUCAUUAAUGAUCAUACAAGGAUAGGGAUAUGCGAAUUAAACUUGUGUAUAGUAAAUGGGGACUUGGUGAGGCCCCACCCACAUACAUUCAUUUUUUAAAAAAUGUUAAUGCUAUUGUUUGAUGUAUUUCUAACCACUAAAUUAAAAAAUUAGAAGUGAAUGGCUUAGGGUUUUUCUAAAUUUUUUCUAUGCUUAGAGCAUAUUCUUAAAUUUGUCAAUUAAAUUUUUCUUGGGCUUAAAAAUCAUUUUCAAUUGGAAGAAUUAAGUUGGUAUAGGUCUUGUUUUGGCCCUAUUCCGCUUGAGAUGGUUUUGAAAAAAUAAAUUAAUUUUAAUUUUAUUCAAUAUUUUUUACUUAAUCUAGACUUCUUGAAAUUAACUUUAGAUCGCUAUUUUGUUGAAAAUUUAUUUCCUAGGUGGGAGAAAAAAUUCUUCUUUCUGCACCUACUACAUUGGCCCUAUUCUUAGUCAAGGGCUAUUUGUCUUGAUGCAAAAAUUCUUCUCGUGUGAUUUAAUCAUGUUGUUAUUUUUCCUAUGAAGUAGAUGUAUUGAAUAAAUUGCAUGAAUUUUGGUGUGAUUUUAUCAUACAUUUAAAUAAUUUAAUUAAAUUAGUCUUUACAUGCUAUUGAUAUCUACUCUAUUUAUAAUUGAUAUGCUUGUGAUUUAAUGUGGUAUUAAUUGAGACAUAGUUUAGUUAUCUAACAUUUUGGAUUGUAAUCUAGACACAUAAGGGAUGUUAAUCAUUUUGUUUCAUGAUAAAAUUCUAUAUUUAAGUUUUUUUUUUUGGAUUUAUUUUGUAUGUUCACCUAUUAUGCCAUGUUGCUAAAUGUUCUAAAAAGUGAUGAUGAAUUUGUUUUAAUAUGGUAUAAUUGGUGGUGAAUUAAAUUGAUUUGACACUUGGGUUGUAUUGUAGAUACAUUGAGGAUGAUGUAUAAUUUUUAUUUUGAUAGAAUACCACUUAGGUUUUUAUUUCUUAUUUUAUUUUCUAUUUAAAAAUAAAUAAAAAUAAGUGACGACUCAAAUUUUUUUGAAAAAAUCAGUUUUUUCACAAAAGAAAAAAGAAAAAAAGAGUUUCAUUGAGUGGGGACGCAUGUGAAAAAUGCGGGUCCAUAGAGAUACUGUCUCAAUAUCAUAAGAUAUCAUAACGUCUCUAUUUGAGAAUACCUAUUUGCCAUGAACCUUUAUUAUAAUUGACCCAAUUCGUAAAGAAAUAUUAUUACAUUAAGGUCUCACUCAUAGGUCGAAGUCUGUUGACUUCAAUAUAGGCUCAAUAUCUUCAGUAUAGAUUCACUGUAGGUCUUGUAUAAUGUAUAACCAUACACAUUAAUACACUCACUAUGGGAACUCUAUCUCAACGACCAAGACAAGUCAUCUUUUCAAUUAGAAGGUAAUACACUAUAGUCUUUGUUGAGUUGCCCAAAUGCAUGAAUUGAAUAUAAACUUUUCAUCAUCUUGCAAGGAAUUUAUGACUUGAAUAUUUUGUGCAACUCUUAGUCAAGUACAAUGCAAGUGAUAUGAACAUAAGUACUCAGAUAACCAAUUGAUGCAUAAGGGAUAAUAAAGGUAACUAGAAACAUAAAUAAAUUAAUUAAUUUAUUAAUAAAUCUAAAUUUUGUUAUAGCAUGUCAUGCUUUCUUAGACUUUAUAUCAACAAUUAAGACAUCCAAAUCUCAAAUUUCUUCAAGAAUUAGAAAAAAAUAAAAUAAAAUUUAGUGUGUCUAGUGAGCGAAGUAAAUAUGGCACCUAUGGUAAUUAUCAACUUUGAAAAUGUGUAAACUUCCUUUUAACAAGUCUCAUUCAACUAAUAAAUUUCCUCUUGAAAAAAUUACAAUGAUUUAUGGCAGUUUGCCUUAACUUUAUCAUCUAAAAAUUUCCAAUAUUUUGUGGUCUUUAUUGUUGAUUAUAAUUGCUACACGUGGCUAUAUCCUUUAUGAUCCAAAUUUUAUUUAUUUUUAGUUUCUUUCUCAAAUUUCAUUUUGAUAGGAAAAUAAAGACAUUUCAAAGUGAUGGUGAUGGUGAAGGUGAAUUCAUCUCUAUUGCUUUAAUUCACUUUUCAUUUGGCUUAGUGUGGCAUUGCACAACAACUUUCAUUCCUUAUACACAUGAACCAAAUGACCUAGUCGAAAUAAAACAUAGGCAUAUUGUGGAAACGAAGGCUCAUAAUGCUUCUUCAUGCUAACUUACCCAUGAAAUCUUGGGUUGAUGCAUUUCUGACAACAACCUACCUUAUAAUCAGGUUACCAUCUUUUUCCCUUGAUAUGAAUACUUUGUAUUUCAAACUCUAGUUUAUACACCUUUGGAUGUCAGUGAUUUCCAUCCUUAAAACAUCAAGGUAUCAAUAAAAUUUCUCAGAGAAUAAAGUUAUUGUUGGGUUGAUGAAAUGAAAAUUACAUAUAUGGCUACGAAUAAAGUAAAUAAUGCAAACUAUUUCUGAAAAUCUAACAAGAUCUUGUUAAUGCAUAAUCAAAUUUUAAUUCUUCCACCAGGUCACUUCACACUACAAGUAUAACACGAAUCAAGAAGUCGAAGCCUAAAGCACAAGGCGAUGAGGACCGGUCAAGACCGCAGCCUAACAUUAAGGCGCCUUAGCCACACCGAAUGAAGAAUCAUAUGAAGCAUAUCGUAGGGCUGCGCCGGCCGGUUUAUCACGAAAUGCCUCUGCACUUGCUUCACCCUCUUUUGCAUCCUCAAAUACCUCUCAUUCGGAACCGCUUUCAAUAUCUUCUUAAUUUCCGGUAUCUUGUCCGAAGUGAUAUUUAUGGAAAACUUGCUCCAAUCAAGAACUUCACUAAACGGCAGCACAUAGUAAUCGCAGAUGAUUACAGGCACACACCCAGCAGCGAUUGCUUCCACUACUCUGGGGCUGGCAACUUCCCAUCCACUUGGACACAGGCAAAACUUGCUGUCAACCAUUGAUUUAGCGUAGUCUCGAUUGCUGGGAAGGUGCUCGUACACCUGGACUUCGUCAUCAUUUUCUUUCCAGGACCUGAACAGGAGGGUUCGCAUGUAGCCGGAUUCACGGCCGGAGAAGAAGGCGAGGAUGUGACGCUGGUUAGGGGGUUUGUCGAGGUGAGGUGGGCCGAGCUUGCCUUUGGGUAUGUUGACUUCUGGCAAAGAGAUGUCUCUGAUGGGCUGGAACCUUUCGGAGGUGUUGGCAUUGCAAAGGACUCUGAUGAAAUGCUUGUAGAGGUCAGGGGUUACAAUCGAAAUCUCUGGUGCCUGAGAUUUCAAGAUAUAUGAUUGAUUAGUAAAACAACAUUGAUUAUAGAAACAAGUAAUGACUGGAUUUUGAGUUUCAGAGGGAGGGGGCCGUCAAAUCGUAAAUGUUUCUCACUACUUUUAUUAAAUUUUACAGACAUGGCAGCUAAUGUUUGAGAGUUGGGAAUUUUUAGGUUUAGGAAAACUUUAAGAUUUGCAGGAGAAUUCAUUUCUAAAUAGAUUAAGUAGUUUACAUUUUUACCAUAAUUUCUUCAGACAAUUCUACGGAACUACCCUAAUAUAUACAUUGGAGGUCUCUUCCAUCCAAUCCCCUUUUUCCAACUUUCAUCUAGACCUCAUCUUUUCUUCUCUAGAAUCUCUCCAAGCCAGAUUCCUCUUCUCUCAUAUCUCUUCUACUGUCCCGUUUUCUCUCAAGUAUCUCCCAUUUUCCCCCACACCUGUCCAUUUUCCUCAAAUCUUGAAAUCUCACAUCUUGAAAUUUUAAAAUUAAUUUGAUAUUUUUUCUAAUGUUUUCUAAUACAAAAUCGAAGUUCCAACAUAUAUUAGCAAAAGAAAAUGCAAGUACGUACGUACCCAAUCAUGGCAAGAGACUAGGAAAUGGUCAGCUCCAUUACUUCUAUUCCAAUAUGGAUAUUUAUUUGAAACAACGUAGAUGUAGUCUGUGACCAAUCGUUGAAGCAUGUGACCAGAGUAGUCAACAGGAGGAGAGUAGAUAUAGUGAGCAAUGCGAGUUACACUUAUUGGGAUGUAAAAGACAUGAGCCACAUCAGGAUGACCCGCCAUGAAGUGGCUGUCUCCACUUUCCAUCUCAUCCAUAAAUUGCCCUUCAAUGCCAUAGAUGCUAUUUUUUGGCCCACCAUGCACUAGGGGUUGGUCUCCCUCCUUGUAGGUCCAUAUCUUGAAUCUCUUCUCCAUUUCUAUGUGACUCCUAUUAUGCAAUCAAAGGAAUUACUUGCAUGAAAGUUAAUUUUGAUUGAAAAACUAAAUGAAAAAAAAAAAAAGAAGUUGAGUAAAAAAUACACAAUUCAUACAUUGAUAAAUAUAUAUAUAUAUAUAUAAAAGAUAUUUAGGUUAAGUAGAUUAUAUGUAUAUAAUAUAAGAAUGUAAUUAACAACAAUAUCUUAGUGCUGAGUGGAGCUCAAUCUGAACGUGAGAGUUCGACACCUAUACAAGCCACCAACGUGGCUGGGCUGCAUCCUUAACUAAAUUUGGGCACGUGGCUCAUGAUAUCAAACUUUUAUAAAAGCCAAAAACACGAGGAAAAAAAAAAAAGGCCUAACAUUUCGGUGAGGUUUUGAUAAACUUAUGGUUGGGAGAUCAAUGAAAUCGACUUCACAUCUUCUACAAAUGAAUAAAAUGUCACUAAUCAUUCGCCUUUCCGGAAACUUUGAGACAAUUUUUAAAAAUGAAAUAUGGAUUUUCACUAGUAAAAUAGUGUAGUGUGAGCUUAACUGAUGAAAUGCGUAUGGAUUUCUGUAAACAGCUCCUCUAGGGAUGAAAUUUUCUUUCUUUUGUGAAGUAUAAUUGCUUGAACGAACUGCUUCACGUAUUGCCGCUCGUGCACUUGCCAGACCACGUUCAAUUCUCUCCAAAGGACUCAUCUUUUCCUACAAGACACACAAAAAAAGAACAAUAAAAUCAAUCUAAGAAGAACAGCAGCAGUACUGGGUGCAAUUAAAGUUAUGGUAAGUCCACCCACCACAGUGGUAGUGGAAGUUGAGGGAACCCCAUGCGUGGAAACAUUUCCCAGAAACGAAGACGCUUCUGGGGUCUGGUGUUUGGUCUGUGAAUGAUUGGGAGUUGAAGAAGAAGAUGGAUGGAAGCGGAGAUCAGGGUUUUGAUUUAUGGGUGACAGAAAAAAGAUGGAAAGAAGAAGAAGAAAGAGAAGAACAGGAAAUACUAUAUAUGGUGUUGAACUCAAUGUUGCCAUAUAUAUUUCAAUUUUCUCUCUGUUCUGUCACUCCUCUUUGAAGGGUUGAAGGAGGUGGAGACACGUUCAGACAUGGAGUAAAACAAAAUUUAUGAAUGGUUUUUCCUUUGUUCGGUCCGUUACGCAUCCAGUGACGUACUCAUUUGGGCGGUCCAAUCUAAUGUCUGGAAUCAUUCCACCUUAUGUGAGUAUAACAUUAAGAAGCGUCACGGUCCCUUUUUUAGUUCUAUGACUCACCCAUAUACCACUCACUUGAUUAUGAAGAAGAAAUUAAAGAGUGUUCACCGUUUAGCAAGGCCAUUGCAAAAAUUAGGAUUUGUUUUGAUACAUUUUGGAAAAUUGUUUUCAAAAAAUAGUUUUGAAAUCGAUUUUUAAAAUAUUUCAUAUUUUUUUAAAAACACUUUAUUUUUUAAACUAGUUUUCAAAAAAUUGUUUUCUAUUUAAAAAAUUUGUGAAAAACAUAGAAUCUCUUCUUAUUAUAAUUAAAAUAAGAUUUUCCAUUAUCAUUGACUUCUGUAGAGCCUCCUUGACAAUUGUAUUGUGUAACUAAUUUGUAAUGAAAUCUUCCAUCUCAUAAUAAGUAAUAAUCACUAAACAUUACAAAUCCUAAAAAAUCCAAAGCAAUCCCAAAGUCUUAAAAUUAUAUUCUAAUUGUAAAUAUGUCUAAAAAUACAUGCAUUUACACACUAAAUAUACACUGAAAUGCUUGACAUUAAUUAGAGGGUACUUUUGUUGCAAGGCACUACUCGAAGGAUAUGUAAGUUUAAAUGAUAACUUUGGUAGUACAAGAUUGUUGUAAUUAAGUUACUUUCAAUCAUCGUUAAUUGGCCACUUUAUUCAAACAACAACAACAAUAGGUAUAUGAAACAAAUUCUAAUAAUUAGUGUGAAUUGAGUGUAUACCAGUUAGUGUUAGCAAUUAGAGAAAAGUGCUCUUUGUAGCCUGCAUCAAUAUUUUUGAGACCAAUACUUAAGAUUGAUUUGAUGUACUUAUAGAAUUUAUUAAUGUAAAAGAAAUACUCAAAUAGGGAAAUGAAGAGAGUUAGGAGAUAAUGUUGGAAUGGAAGAGAAUGAGAGAGGGAAAGUAUAUAAAAAAAAAAUUGUGAGAGGAAAUUAAUAUAAAAUUUUAAAUAAAAAACCUUGAUUAUUCUAAAGUUAAUACUUUUGAAAAGUUACUUUUUUUUUAAUGUGUUUUUUAAACUAUUAUCAAAGUUAUUUAUAUUCUUUUGAAAAUCACUUCUGACUACUCUCAAAUAUGUAUGUCAAAGUACGAUUUUGUAAGUAUAAGGAGUCGUUUGUAAUUUUAAAAUUAUGAUAAGUCAUGGUUAAACUACAAAGAUGUGAUCUUAGUUGUAUAAAGGAAAUGAAGAGGUUUAGAAGUUAAAUAAAAACUUUUUAGGCAAACCCUUUCACUCGAUAAAUGCUUGAAAAAAGAGGUUGAUGAUUUUUAUUUUUAUUUUUUCCGAAAACUAGAAGGGAGUACUAGGUGAACUUAAAUUGAAAUUUGAUUUAAUAAGAUAUGCAAAAAGUGUUGGAAUAAGGAGAGUCCCUUAGGCUCUCUUGUUUUUAUAAAAAGACCCUUAAUUAAGUUAACACCACCAAGAUUAUCUAUAAGUGUUUUCAACCAAAGAAUUUUCAAUACAAACACAUUUUGAUUAAACCUAAUGCUUCAAACUUAUGAGUUAACCAUGUGAAAUCUUUAAAAUCUUCUAGCAACCUAUUUGUUUGUCCUAUUGCAGCAUUAAAAGCUCAAUAAUAAACGUCUCAAGUCAAAAUGGCUUUCACCAUCAAGUGUUCGAGAUACCCUCAAAAGAGCUUGUAAACUUCAAUUUCCAAGCAUUUAGGCAUGAUAUAUAAAUCACUUGUGAUAUCCUUAAAACCUUUAUUACUUAUUAACUUGCUAAACUCAUAACAUUAAGGAUUCAAUAGUGACCAUCUCUAGUUAAAUAAUUCUCAAUUAUUAAGCACUUGAGAUACCCUCAAGGGGGCCUUUAAGCUCUAAUUUCUAAGUAUCAAAUAAUGGUUUUCUAAUUAAAAACAAAUGAUCCAACUCAUAAAAUGAAUAUAUCAUUAAAUGUCCAAGAUUUAGAGUCAUUUCAUGGGCACAAGGGAGGUCCUAAGGACUCCCAUCUCCUAAGCUUAAAUCACUACUCACAAAAUAUAAAAAUAGAAUGAAAAAUGAAGAACAUAAGUCAAGUAUAAGGAAAUCAUCAUUAAAAACUUGAGCUUCAACUUCAAUAUUGUACCAAACCAAAGCUUAAAAGUAAGUACAUCUAAAUAUACUCAAAGGAAAGAAGUUUGAGAGAUUACAAGCAACUAAAAGGCGCAAAACAAUAUAAAAAAUUGAAAUUUUAAUAGCAUGUCCCAAAGUUGGAGGUUGAUGAAGAAGUGCUCCCCACUAAAGGGCUUCCUCUAAAAUCCUCCUUCUCCAAUUGCAAAAUCUAUUUAGAGAUGAUCCCAUGUUGCCCUAAGUGGUAUACCACAUAGAGUCAUAAAAAAUAAAGUGUGAGAUCCAAUGGUGGCUUCAGAUAAGCCCAAAAAUGUAGGUCUCCCAUGUUCUUCGAGUUCUAGAACAAAAUGAUGACAGUUACAGAGAAAAUGGCACUAGGUUGUAAGGUGGACAUCUUCUACUCAAAUUGGCAGCGCCAUUAUGAAAAAAGACACCAAACUACAAGGUGGUUCCAUUUUUCUUCGAAUGCUCCUUAGCUCCUUCAACGUUUUUCUUAUUUUUCAUCAAUCUUUUAUAAUUUUUUUUUGUAUAUAUAGAUAGAAGACGUUGAAAUAUUCUUAAAAUUGGUAAGAUUGAUCUUCAAAGAGUAGAAAUUAGAAAAAAUUACUUGAAUUCAUUUGGGCAUUUUUAACCUCCUCAACUGUCCUCAAACUUUUGAUUGGUUGAAGGAGGAUGACACCAUUGAAUUUCAUGCAACUUUGAUCCUUUGACUCCACUCAUACUCCAGUAAUGCUCUUGCAUUCCAAAUAUUCCAAGAAGUUUCCAACAUCAUCAUUAUUCAUGAAAAUAUAUGUAAACAUAUCAAGAAGUAAUGAAAAAUAUGAUAAAACUAAGCAUAUGCAAGGUUUCUAUCAUAUUCAAAUAUAAAAAAAUUAUUCUCCUUUCCAUUUUUUUCUUGCUUAACUUUCUUCGUCUCUCCUUUACUUUUGGCCAACAAAAAUUGACAAAAAUAAAAAUUGAUAAUAGAAUCAUUAUCGGUUAAUUUAUAUAUAUAUAUAUAUAUAUGUAUAUAUAUACAUUCAUAAACUCAUGCUAAUAGUUAAUUUCAAGAAAUAGAAUUGUUCAUAGAAAACAAUAACUUGGGUGACAUUUGGAUACAAUUCCUUUUCCUUUUUUUUUUUUUUUUGUAACUUUUAGAAAUAGAAAAUACUCCUAUUAAAAGUAUAGGAACUUAUGUACAAAAAGUAAAAAAAAUUAUCUUAUAUUCUUAACAACUAUUUAACAGAAGUAAAAAUAUUUUACUUAAUUUCUUCAAUUUAAAAAAAUUUAUGAAGUGUUUUCAACAAUCCUUGUUUUUGUAUAAGGAUUCCUAUAGACUUUAAUAUGAUACUUUCUAUUCUUAAAUAAAAAAAUAAAAUAAUGUAUCCAAACAUCACCUUAUCAAACAAAAAAUAUGGAGCUAUCUUAGGAGGUAAUUGUGAGGAAAACUAUUAUCUAAAAUAUAUAUAUAUAUAUAUACAUUAUGACUACUGGGCUCCACUCAAGCACACCAGUUCCACACUCAAUACACUCAGAAUUUGGAAGAGAGCUACAAUAAAUUGCAAUGAAGAACAUUUCAAAACUAAUGAUAACUCCUCAGAACAAUUAUUCUCAAAUUAUAAAUUCAAAAUUUCACAAUUCAAUUAAGCCACUCCAGGAUACAUCAUGUAACAACAAAUUGAAGACAGAAGAAAAACAAUAUCAAGAUGGCAACCUAACAUUAAGGCGCCUCAGCCACACCGAAUGAAGAAUCAUAUGAAGCAUAUCGUAGGGCCUCGCCGGCCGGUUUAUCGCGAAAUGCCGCUGCACUUGCUUCACCCUCUUUUGCAUUUCCAAAUACGUCUCAGUCGGAACCGCUUUCAAAAUCUUCUUGAUUUCCGGUAUCUUAUCGGAAGUAAUAUAUAUGGAGAACUUGCUCCAAUCAAGAACAUCGCUGAACGGCAAGGAGUAGUGAUCGCAAAUUAUCAUAGGCACACAGCCGGCAGCGAUGGCUUCUACUAUUCUGGGGCUGGCGACUUCGUAUCCACUGGGACACAGGCAAAACUUGCUGUCCCCCAUUGAUUUACUAUAGUUUCGAUUACGGGGAAGGCGCUCAAAAACCUGGACUUCGUCAUCUUUCUCUUUCCAGUACUUGAACAAGACACUCCGUACGUAACCAUGAGCGCCCCCGGCGAAGAAGGCAAGGAUGGGACGCUUGUUGGGGGGCUGGUCGAGGUGGGGCGGACCGAGCUUGCCGCGGGGUAUGUUGAUUUCUGGGAUUGAGAUGUCUCUGAUGGGGUGGAACCUUUCGGAGGUGUUGGCAUUGCAGAGGGCUCUAAUGAAAUGCUUGUAGAGAUCAGGCUUUAGAGCUGAAACGUCUGGUGCCUGAGAUUUCAACAUAUAUGAUCUUAAGUCAAUUUAAAAUUUUUCUUUUCUUUUUCAUAUAAAUCUUAAUUAAAUUCGAAAGAAUUGCAAGGGAUCCCAAAAUAUUCAUCAUACGUAAUGGGGAAAAUGUAUAUACCCAAUCAUGACAAGAAACCAAGAAAUGGUCAGCCCCCUUGCUUCUAUUCCAAUAUGGAUAUUUAUCUGCUACAAAGUUGAUAUAGUCUGUGACCAAUCGUGGAAUCCAUUUACCAUGGUAAUGUGGAGGCUCGUAGAUAAAAUGAACUACUCUAGUUAAACUCAUGGGGAUGUAGAACGCAUUCGCCUCGUCGGGAUGACGAGCCAAAAAUUGGCUCUUUCCACUUUCUAUCUCAUCCAUGAAUUGCCCUUCGAUUGCAUAGAUGUCAUUUGAUGGUCCGUCAUGCAUUAGGGGUUGAUCUCCUUCUCGGUAUGCCCAUAUCUUGAAUCUUUUCUCCAUCUCUAUAUGACUCCUAUUAUAAAAUUGAAAAAAUUAAUUGUGAAAAUUGAUUUAAUUGAAUAAUAAUAAUAAUAAUAAUAAUAAUAAUAAUAGAUUGUUUUUGUUAAUAACAAUCUAUAGUAGCACUUUUUUUUAAAAAAAAAUUUAUUAGGGAGAACAUGUUGGUCUUUAGAUAUAAUAAUAAAAAAGUGUUUUUUAGUCUUACUUUACAUAAUAAAAUUAUAAUUUUUAGAAAAAAAAUACUUAUUAAGAACACGCGCAUGUUUUUUUUAUUUUUAUUUUGGAGAGAUAUAAACUAAGAAAGUAUAAUUUUUGGGAAAAAAAAAAUCUUACUAAAAGCCCAUUUGAAAAUGAUUUUAAAAGAGAUUCAAAGCAUUUUCUAAUAAUGGAAAGUGUUUUCUUACAAAAAUGUGGUGUUUAAUAAAUUUUUGAACACACUAAAAAUUUAAAGAAUCAGUUGAAGUGAUUACUUGACAAUUAAUACUACGAUUUUCUUUGAAAAUUCAUUCGAUCUUAUUCUAAUAAAAAACAUUAGAAAAUUAUUUGUUUUUAAGUUUAUACUCAAACACCAAGUAAGAAUGUGUUUGAUAGUAAUUUUAUGAAAUAUUUCUUAUAUUUCUAAUAUUUCAAAAGAUAAAAAUUUUCAAAUGUUAGAAAAGGUAAAAACACUUCCUAAAAUUACUAUAAAAUGCAUUCUAGAAGUGUGUUUGAUAAUAAUUUUAAAAAACAUUUUUAGUAUUUCUAACACUUAAAUAAUAAAAAUUUUUAAUUAUUAAAAAUGUUAGAAACACUUUCUAAAAUUAAAAAUACUUUCUAAAAUUAUUGUCAAAUAAUACUAAUUUAUUUUUAAAAGUGUUUAUAAUAAAAAUAUAAUUAAUAAGAACACUACACAUAAAAUCAUUUAUUUAUUGUUAAAAGCGAGCCUCAAUAAGUAGAAAGUAGUUAUAACUUUUCACUCGUCAUUUCACCCUAUAAAAAGGAGUUAUUUAAGUUGAUAAAUGAGAUUUAAAAAAAAAAAAAAAAAAGCAGAGAAAAAAAAGAGAUGGAUUUUAGUAAAUGUAAUUUUCAUUCAAUAAAAAGAACAUGCAUGUAAAGUAGGUGUAUUAUGAGACUAAGAGAAGUAUAUAAUUUCAUGAUGGCAAAAAUUGAUAAAGAAAAUAUGAUAUUUAAUUAACUAAUAGAAUGUAAUUAUUAUUUUGUCGUACUGUUUUAUUUAUUUUUAUUUUAAAAAAAUAUUACUAGCUAUUAUUAAAAUGUAAAAAUCUUGUAGAAAAAUAGAAUUUACUUUCUUUUCUUGCACAUUAGUAAAAUUUUAAAAAUUUGAGAUAAUAAAAAAAUUUUAGUGCUUAUAUUUUUUAAACUGUUUUAAAAAUUAUUAUUUUUUAAAGUAAAUGUCUAUUAUUUUGUAAAUGUUUUUUAUAAAAACAAAAACUAGUAUAGGUUGUUAAUUAACCUAAAUCAUUUUGACAUAAGCAAAGGUGAUAUGUGACUUCUUAAUAAUAGUACUAAUAAUAAUAAAUAAAUAAAUAAAAAUAUGAUUACCUACAAUAAAUACCUAAUAUGCAAAAAAAAAAAAAAAACAAAAUGUCACUAAAACUAAUCAAGUUGUUGGAAUGGACUGAAAAUUACAUAGAUAUUAACACAAAAAAAAAUGGAAAAGAAAAGAACAUGAAAUACAGAUUCCAUAGUGCAUUAAGUGAUUAGCCAACAAACAAUCCAAUAUUAUGAAUAAACUGAAUCACCUUCUUGACCUUUGAAAGCCUCAUGUCUUCCUAUGAGAUUUUUCAAUACCAUUACUUGAUUAGGACAAUCUUCUUAAGUCUUUUUGCAAGCAUUCUCCCACCAUUAACAUCAAAAAAUUAUCAGUCUAUGCUAUAAGAAAUAACUUAUUUGAAAUUCUAAAAAGUAAAAAUAAGAAAAAUAAUACUUUCUCUUAAAGUUACUUGUAUUCAAAUGGUAAAAUAUAACCAAAAAUAUGUUAUUUCACACACAUGAAAUGUUACCUGCACUCUAGGGAUCGACCAUGAACUGCAACUAUCAGCAAAGUUUAAUUCUUCAUAAUUACAUUAAGAAUGAAAACGAUAUGAAUUUGUUCCUACUUAGUUUCAAUCAUAUUCAAUGGACCAAUUUAAUCCAAAUCCAAAAUUAAACUUACUAUAAAUUCAAUACAUGGAAGUGUGUCCUAGAAAUCAUAUAUAGAAAAGACGUGGAAUUGUACUCUACACCAAUUUAUCAUAGCACCAUCAAUGAGGCGUGUGGAAAAAAAAAAUGAAAAUGAAGAGGAUCCUUAUUAUUGUUACUGAUAUAAAUGGUAGGCCACGUCACAAUUAUUAAGAAUAUUCAUAAAUUAUUUUAAGAUUUCUUCCAAUGUUGCCAAGGUUUUGGCUUUUCUCAAUUUGCAUGCACACAAUUGACUCAACAUAUAUAAGUAACAGCUGUAUAUACCCUCUACGAAUUAUACAAGACUUUUUAGUUUAAAUAUUUUUAUUGGUUUUUUUUAAUUAAAUUUGGUAAAUAAAUAAUUUAAAUUUUGAUAAAAAAAAAUUACAUUACAAGCCAUCAGAAAGAAACACCCUUUUAUGGGUUAAUGAAACAAAGAUUGAACUGUUCUUAGACUAGGUAGGUAGGAUCAUCAAUUUGAGACUUUCUAGAUGUCUCCUUUUGUCAAAAUAAUGUUUCAAAAUUUUAAAUAAAUAAAGUGGAGGUUAAUAUUUUAUCAUCGAUUUUUUUUUUAUUUCUUAUUUGAUAGAAGAAAAUGAAAGGCAUUCCAAAUUGAUAAUUGUAAAAGUGUUAUUAGAAAUGUUUUCAUGGACAAUUUAAUGAGUAUUUAAAUAUAAAUUCAAUUGGUGUACUUUUUUUUGUGAAAAGAAAAAAAAAAUUGGAAGAAACAUUUAAUGAAUACCAAUAAAAAAAGAUACUUUAAAAGAUUUAUUUAUUUAAAUUUUUUCAAAUACUCAAUUUUUAUUAGGAAAAUAUAUUUAAAUAUUAAUUAACAGGGCAGAUCUAAUGCAUGCCAAAAGAAGCAUAUGCCCCUUUAAUUAUUAUUUUUUUAAAUUAUCAUUAGAUUAUAAAUGCUUUUUGUUCAUUUUUGCCCCGCCAAAAUCAAGAGUUAGAUGUUGCCCACUGUUAAGUCAUUUGCUGGUUUGGUCACUGGUAGCUAAGGUUUCUAAAUCUUCAAGAUGGCUCCUAAAAUGUACUUUUUACUUCAAUUGUCCUUUUUAUUGUUAUGUUUAAUUUUAAAAUCAUAAUAUCAUAUGAAACUACAAUCAAACUAAGAUAAGUUUCUAAAUCAUAUAAUAGAAGCAUUUUUUAUUUAUUUAAUUAUUUCUUAAUAAAUUUUGAAUUAUGAGCCGAAUCUAAGAAUAUAAGUUAGGGAUAGUUUCUUCUUCAAACAUGCAUUACGAAAUGCCACAUUGCUUUGUCAACAAAAUCAUGGUUUUUCAACAUCAUAUUCUACUUACAAAAAUCUUUCAAGAUGUAAGGUUCCUAUUUAAUCAAAUUUUCCUGCAUAAUGAAGCCACCAAAGAGAUUAAUCCAAAGAUUAAUAACUAAAUAAAGAUGAUGCAUGUCUCUAGUUUAGAAAUUAAAUUGUUCUUCCUCGAUAGAAUGAAUUAGCUUUGAACUUAACUGAUGAAAUGCAUACGGAUUUCUGUAGACGUCUCCUCUUGGGAUGAAGGUUUCUUCCUUUUCUGAAGAAUAAUUCCUCCUCUGAAUCGCCCUGCGUAUUGCCUCUCGGGCUCUCGCCAGACCUUCUUCAAUCCUCUCCACAUGACUCAUUUUCUCCUAUAAAAUUGCACCCAAAAAAGAAAAGAAAAGAAAAGGAAAAACAAACGGUUAAUGAACGAAAUUGUUAUUAAGCUUCAAACCAAACAGAAAUCAUUGCUGAAGUGGUAGAUUAUCACGCACUCUGAAACGCUUCCUAAUCUCGUUAGUUGCACUGGCUCCAUCAGUGGAAGUUGAGGGAACCCCAUCUGCAGAAUCAUUUUUCGGCAACAGAGAUGGGGACGAUGAGGUUUGAAGGGUUUGGUGAGUUGUCUCUGAAAGGUUUGAAUCCGUAGGGAGCAAAUGGCGGAGGAUGUUUUGGUUUCGAUUUAUGGGUGACAGGUACAAAGGGAUGAGAACAAUGAGGAAGAGAAUAGCUGGAAAUAUUACGAACCGUGUGGGACUCGAUGUUGCCAUGGCUUCUUCACUUUUUCUGUCUUCUUCUCCACUCACUUUCGUGAAAGGGUAUGAGCGAUAGAUAUGGUUAUGAUACAGACAUAGAGCAUAGAAUGGAACCAAAUAUCUGUAGGUUUUUUUAUUCUGGUUCAUCACGCACUCUUGCUGCUAUUGUCCAAAUUCUAUAUGCGGGACUUACCUUUAGAGUAAUGCUGUCCAAAUUAUAUGAGUGGGAACCACCUUUUGAUGACUUGUCAAAUGGCAGACCAUCUGGUAAACAACAAAAGAAAAUCAUGAUUCUUAAUUAAAAAUAGAAAGACUGUAGGAAGGCUGACCAAGGCCAACAUGAAGGCAGCCUAAGAUUAAAUACAAGGGCUCUUUUCAAAUUAGGUUUGCUUGUAAGAGUUUUGUAAGGGUCUAACAUAAGACUCAAAAUAUUAGUAUCUUUGUUUUGGUUAAUUAUCUUGUAGAAUUUAAUUCCUUUUUUGUACUUUUCAUAACUUGUAGAGAAAUUUCUUCUUGUGUUUAAUUCAAAUUUAUUACAUUCAAAUUGUGGUUUGAAAUUGUCUUUGAACACAUUUUUAGUUAAAAGCAAAAUAUUGUCUCAAAGAAUGAUGACGAAGAUGGAAAGCUUAAUGGGUAUAGUAGAGAGAUAUGUAAAGCUUUCCAAAUUUGAGAUUGAUCAUAUGAAUGGUUGAAAGUGCCUUCUUUAUCAAUAGAAUUAGCUAGAGGUUGAAUGAUAAUACAAUACUUCAAUAUCAAAAUUUAAAUUUAUUCCUAUGCUCCUUCUAUUUUAACAAUAAUUGGGAAUAUGGCAAUAAUCAAUUCACAUGAGGUAUACAUGAUGAAAAAAUUACCUAUAUAUUUGAAUUUUCAAGAAAUUUUGUAGAUAUAAAAUCAUAGGUCAAUUAAUCAUCGGAGAUAAAAUUUACUAAAUAUUAGCAUAAUGUAAAUACUCUUAUAUGAUUUGCAUGCACCUACACUUAAAAGGGCUUUUACAAAUCAAUAUUUAUACUCUUUUUUCACAUUUCUAAUGUAACAUCUCCUACUUCUUAAUGGAUCACGUCAUUUUCGUGUUAAGGUUGUGAAUCAAUAUAGCACAUGUAUUUCCACUUAAAGGACUUUCAUGACAAAUACUUGAAAACUUUCAAAGUUUAGUGUUUAAAAGUAGAACAGUAGUUAUAUCCUCAAUUUGUGCAUCUCAUAGUUAAGACCACGGAAUAUUAUUUAUAGAAAAAUCCUAAAUGAUUUAUUCAAAGUAUAUAUAGAAGGUACGAUAUUAUUAAGAAGGACCAUUUAAACUAUUAAAAAAAAAAUUAACUUCUAUACAAGUUUGCCAAGCACUCAAACCACUCAUAGAGAGACUUUUAAAUGCCUUUUAAGGUAGUGUUAAAUGCCUUUUUACUUAGAGUUUUAAUUACUUUCCAGUUUUAAUAGCCCUUGCAAUGUAAUAAUACUCCAAACAUGCACUUACCCCAAUUGAAAUCAAUGUCUGAAUAACUUGAUCAUGAUCAUAAAGACCUAAGAAACUAAUUAGCGCUAGAAUCAAUAUUUAAAUAUAAUAAAAUUGUCAACCUAGUUUGAAGCACUAAUAGUUCAUCUAUUUGAUAAUUUUAUAACAAAAUAUAGAUUGUAAUGAACCCUCUCAAACUCUUAAAAUAAUGUUUACUACUGCCACAUGGAAUAGAAUCUUAAUCAUAAUAUGCAUUCCCUUCCCUCCUCGCUUAUUUUCAUAAAAACGAAAAAUUAUUCCAUUUUUGUGAAUCUUUCUUAGCACACUACCUAUGACCUAAACACACUCAAACAAAGCUAGGAAAAUUAGUGUAUGAAAAGCAUGUAAAAAAAAUGACUAGUGAACUUUUUUAUUUUUUAUUUUUUGUCACAAAACUAUUAAAGUAGAAAAUGUAGCUAAAAAAUAAUAAGCAUCGAGAAGCAGGAAGACAAAUAUAACCAAUAAUGAGACACAAGCAUCAUCAAAUAAACAUCAUUGAUCAUAUCUAGAAUUGUAAAGGCAUAACUAUGUCAUCCAAUAUAUAAUUAAAAGAGUAUUUGAACACAAUCCGUGAUAUCUAAAAGGAAUAGUCAAAUACAUCCAAAAAGAAGACAACUCAAUCCUAACCAAAUAUACUAAGGCUAUAUUUGGUUCCCGGAAAAUGCGAGAGAAAGAAAAUUGGAAGGAAAAAUGGAAGGAAAGAAAAAGGUAAGGAAAGUAAUAUAAAUUUUUUCACUUGUUUGGUUAUCCAUGAAAAAUUCAAGGGAAAAAAAUUUAUUUUCUUUUGUUUGGUUAACUAUGAAAAAUAAGUCAAGAAAAAAUGAAAGGAAAAUAAAUUCAAUAAUUUGUUUAAGAUGAUUAUCAAUUUAUAGAAUAAUAAAAUAAAUUUCAUAUUCGUAUUUUCUAAAAAUCAGAGGAAGACCCAAUUUUCCAAUCUUCCAAGAUGGAUUCUAGAUGGACCAAAUCGAAGAUCCUUCACAAUUGAAGGGUCUCAAAUAAAGCAAAGCACCAAGCCUGGGAGAGCUGGACGCCGCGGACGACGGGGAGGGGGAUGAAGCGGUAGAGGAGGGACAUGAGGCUGGUGGCGCCGAAGAUGAAGAGGGUGGCGGCAGUGGAGAGACUCGCGACAGCGAUUUGGGGGAGGGAGAGGAGGGGGUCAGAGAUGGCGACGACAGCGAUGGACUUCAUGGGUUGGAUAGGCAUUGGGAUGCUGAAGAGAAAGCCGGUGGAGAUGUUGUAGAGAGCCGUGAAGAUGAGGGUUGUGGAGAGGUCCAGAUGGUUGACCAGUGUGAGAGUUAGGACGAUGGGUAUGUAGGUGCCCAGGUCGCCCACAGAGCCCCCGAGCUCGACGGAGAGAGUGGUUUUGAGACGGAAGGAGCUGAACCACCACCGGCUGGGGCGGAUGAGAGUGGUGGUGGAAGGUGUGUCGUCGGCCAUGAAGGCAGCACAGUCAAAGGACUGAGUUUGUGAAUUCAGUUUUGCGGUGAGAGAGACAGACGAGGGCCGGAGGGGGCAUAGCAACCGGUGAAGAGCCCGAUAAAUUUUCCUUCCUCUUUUUCUCUUAUUUUCCUCGUUAUCUUUUAAGGAAAAUAGUAAGAAAAAUAUUAUGAUAUUUUCCAUCAUAUUUUCCUUUAUAUUUUUUUUCCAUCAUAUUUUCCAUGUAAUCCAAACUAAAGAAAAUGAUUUUCCACAUGAUUUUUUUUCCUUUCCUUAGCAUUUUCCAGGAACCAAACAUAGCCUAAUAGUCCAUAUUCAAGAGUGGGAAAUAUAUGCAAGCUUAGACCAAAUUGAGAAGUAGCCUAAAUUUAGGGAAAAAUUAAAAUUUCGUACUACAAGAAAACAUGCUUUUCCUAGUGAAAAUUUAGGAACAAAAUAAAUUUUUGUCACUAAAAAUAAUUUUUCUAAUAAAAUUCCAAAUAUUGUCACUAACACCAAAUUUUUGACAAAUUUUCAUGAUGAAAUUGAAAUUUCUCCUGCCAAAAUAAGUGGCAGAAAAUUUAGAUUUUUUUUCUCUUUUGUAUAAACAGAGUUAUGAUGAUUUAAUAAACUUAAUCCUACCACAAGUAAGAAUCAAUCUAAAGAAAAUAGUUAGGAUGUUAUCAAAGAGUUGGGUGCACUAAAGGAUUUGUAAGUGAAAGAAUUAAUGCACUUGAGUAGAGAGCUUUGCAUGAGAGAAAAUAAAUGGUAACAAAUAAACGCAAGUGUUCUCUUGGUCAAUAAAUGUAUAAGAACUCUCUAAUUUAUAGAAAAACUUCUCAGGCACCCAAAAUUUAGCAAAAAGUGCUAAAUUGGUUGAGCUUCAAUUCAAUCGAUUGGAUAGUAAUUGGGGCAUUUAAUGCUCUAUAGGCAACCAUUGGUGAGAUUUAGCUUUGAUCGAUUAAACACUAGAUAUUGGAAAAGAAAAGAUUUUUUAACAACUUUGCUUAGUCUGAUUCAUGCCUAAUUGGUGUCUCAGCUGAUUCGUGUCCAGCUGGUGCUCCUUGAUUGAGGGAGUAAUCAACAAAAUUUAUAACCUAUAACACCAUAUACUAGGGUAGCAAAGAAAAAGCUACUAUAGUAUAGUGGCUCUAGGAUCGUUCACUGGGAAGGAUUAGCAAGCUAUCAAUGAUACCAAUUCAAAGUGAAUUGAGCUUGUUUCAUUUCAAGGUUAGCUUAAGAAAUAAAACAUAAACUUUGAUUGGUAAAGAUUUAGACUUAAACUAGCUAACACAAUAAGUAAUGGGAAAAACUUAGGAAGACAAACAUUCCUUGGAGAGUUAGGUUUACUGGGGUGGUUCCUCGUGCAAAAGACAUAGUUCCGGUCAGAUGGUUCAUUUCCUCGCGUUAGAGAUUCAACAUAUAGUCAAUUCUUUAACCGGUGUUGUACAGAUACAUCCUUCAAUUAGAUUUCACUUUAAUUCUCUCAUUGAUGCAACUUGCAAUGGUUUAAGCCUCUCACUAAGCCUUAACCAUUCAAGGUGAUCUUUAACCUUGGAUUACCCGUCAAAAGCUCGCAAGAGAUAACUAAUGGAUGUCUCCUUGGAGUCUAAAAGCUUAGCAAGUGUUGGCUAUUCUAGAAAAUCCUACCCUAAAGUCACCUCCUAGAGGCUCGCAAGGGGUAAACUAGUGCAUUUCCACGGUUGGAAAUCACUUGCCUUACCAAGUGUUGGCCCAGGUGACUCUAAGGUGUUUUAAGUUAACUAAAAACAUAGAAAUCACUAAAGGAUUUCACUUCCUCUUCAUUACUUGCUAAAACCACAAAGCUUUGCAUUCUUGCACUUGGAACCUUCCCCAGCAACCUUAGCUCCAAGGAACUAGAGGUUUAGUUACUCAUCCUCUGGGGAAAACUCCUCAGAGAGUUCAUAACUUAGUAAGAAAUAAAUAAUACAAAGUGAGAAGGUAAGGCAAAACAAAGGCCUGAACUUUACUUGCUUUCCCAAAACUUUACAAAGGAUCCCCCCUUGAGAACAGGCUCCCGAGAGGUAUUUAUAUGAACAUAAUAUAAAACUAAUUAUUACAUAGAUAUUUUCUCUUUUUACUAACUUAAAAGCUAAGGAAACUUGUAAUUGGUGGCUUACAAGGAGUAUUUUGGGAUUUUGACAACAAAAAUCUGAUGUAAAAUAUCUCCCAAUGUCGGUAGCAAAUAUCGGGAUGCUCCAGGAACCAUUUCGCAAGAGAAAAUGGUGUCUGCGAGAUUUCGCAGACACUCAAGAAGGGCUGCGAAAUCACUUCGCAGCAAAAGGCCAUUCUCGCAGGGCUGCGAAGUUGGCUUCCACCUUGAGGUUCCCAGCUUCCUCCUUGCGGCAUAUAUCGGGCAACUUCAGAAGGAAAUACACCCUAUUGUACAAAAAGGCUGCGAAAUCACUUCGCAACAAAAGGGUGAUUUCGCAACACUUUGCAAAAUGCUUCCUUCAGCUUGGAGUGAUUGGCUUGCAAUGACUACAACUUCUUCGUUUCAACUCCGAAUUGCACACCGUUUGAAGCAUUGGAUUGUUGACUUCCUGAGCUUCGAAACGACAUAUAGCAUGCAUAAAUUGGACUUCAAGAAGUGCUCCAAAAGUGGCUGCCAUGACUGUCAUCAAGAAUAUGCUUCAUGGCAGAUUCUCUUUACUUUUUCUCAUUGCAUUCCGGAUUUACUCUUGGCAAAUGACUUCCAAGCUUUUCCCAAGAUUCCUCAUAACUCUCCUCAAUCUUGAAUUGCUUUGGUGAUCAAAUUACUAACAAAAACAUCAAAACUUACACAAAGUGAUUAAAAUUGCUUUCAAGGGUCCUUAACAUGCCAAUUGAGUUAAAAGGCCAAAACUACUACUCAAAAGUGUUUAAAAGGAUUAAUUAUAAGCUAUCAAAUAGCACUUUUUGAGUAGUAAUCAUAGUCCUCAUCAAUUGAGAAAGCUUAGGCGAUUGAACCGGUUCCUUAAUUGAUUCUAUCAGUUCAAGCCACCCUUGAUUGGUUAAGCAAAAACUAGCUCAAAAAGCUUCUCAUUUUAGCUCUAAUAUUCCAAUAACUUGAACAUUUCAUUUAAAAACCUUUAUAGGAAAUUUUUAAAAGAAUUUAGCCUAAGGUUUUGAGGUAAAAUGCGUAUUCAUCCAUUUUUAAGAAAUUAAGAUCAUUCUUAAACUAUCAAGGUAUGAAUGAAUGCAUUCGAAAGUGCAUGAGAAAUCAAUUUUAUACUAAGCGUACCUAUGAGACUCAUUUUACAUUGGUUCCUAGACAUCUUGAGUCUUCAAGGAUCCAUCUCUUUAUAAUGUUUAAAUUUCUUAUGAACAAUCUUAAGCUUUCUUCUGAAUUUAUCAAUAAAACCUAAAAUUUUAUUUGAUUUAAACAAGUUAGUACACUUAUCCUUGUUUUCUUAUCAUCAAAAUGUAUUUUGGAGAAUCCUUAGGCUAACAUCAAUUUUGAUUUUAAUGUUAAUUUUAGUAAUUUUAAUUAUAGUUUUAGUUGUUAACUUGAAUGUUAGUCUUAGUUUUGACUUUAAUUUUAAUUUUAUUUUUGAACUAAAUUCCAAUCCUCAUCUUAGUCUUAAUUUUAAUUUCAAUUUUGAAAUCAAUUUUAGUUUUGAAUUUAAUUUUUAUUUUUAUUUUAAUCUUCAUUUUAAUUUUAAUCUUAAUUUUAAUUUAAUCUUAAUUUUAAUUUUAAUCUUAUAAUUUUGAUCUUGAUUUUGAUUUUAAUUUUAAUCUUAGAAAUGAAAAGAAAAUUUGUUUUUUAUGAUUAAAAUUCAAAUUGGAGAACAAAAGUUUGAAGAAAACCAACAAAGGAAAAAUUUAGUUUAAUCUUAAUUUUAUUUUUAAUGUUCAUUUUAGUAAUUUUAAUAUGGUUUUAAUCUUUAACUUUAAUUUUUGUCUUAAUUUGGGUGACAUCACAUAUCGGAUAUGGGAGAAAGUUCCUGACGCUAUAUAUGUAGAGGCUCCUCUUAACCUUAUAGAUUUGUUUUAAAGUCGUGAAAGUUCAUUUGGGUCCAGAGUGAACAAUAUCUACAUGGUUGGGUGCGGGUCAUUACAAAUGGUAUCAAAACCGAUCCCUAACCCCGAUGUGGGAGUUUGUUUGGUACCAUAGGGGGUGUUUGUUUGUUUCACCCCAUAAUCUUGUAUGACACAACAAGGAUGUUAUGUUUGCAUAGGGGAGAAAGUUUCUGAUGCUAUAUAUAUAGAAACUCAUCUUAACUUUGUAGAUGCGUUUUAAAGUCGUGAGGGCCCCCUUGGGUUUAAAACGGACAAUAUCUACAUGGUUGGGUGUGGGUCAUUACAAAUCGUAUCAAAGUCAAUCCCCAACUCUAAUGUGGGGGUUUGUUUGGCCCCAUAUGAGGUGUUUGUCUGUUUGACUUCACAAUCCUAUGGAACACAACGAGGACGUUGUGUCUACAUAGAGGGUGGUUUGUGACAUCCCACAUUGGAUAGGGGGGAAAGUUUUUGGCGCUAUAUAUGUAUGGACUCUUUUAACACUGUAAACGUGUUUUAAAACCGUAAGGGCCCCUUUGGGUCUAAAGUGGACAAUAUUUACAUGGUUUGGUGCGGGUCAUUAUAAAUCGUAUCAGAGCCGAUUUCCAACCCUAAUGUGAGAGUUUGUUUGGUCCUAUAGGAGGUGUUUGUUUGUUUGUUUGGCCCCAUAAUCCUGUAAGACACAACGAGGACGUUAUGUCUGCAUGAGGGGUGUUUAUGACAUCUCACAUCGAAUAGGGGAGAAAGUUCCUAGUGCUAUAUAUGUAGAGACUCAUUUUAACUCUAUAGACACAUUUUAAAGCCAUGAGAACCCCCUUGGGUCCAGAGCAGACAAUAUCUACAUGAUUAGGUUGUUACAAAUAGUAUUAGAGUCGAUCUCUGACCCCACUGUGGGGGUUUGUUUAGCCCGUAAGGGGUGUUUGUCUGUUUGGCCCAGCAAUCCUAUGGGACACAACAAGGAUGUUGUGUUUGUAUGAGGAAAUGUUUGUGACAUCCCACAUCGGAUAGAGGAGAAAGUUCUUGACGCUAUAUAUAUUCCUCUUAACCUUGUAGAUGUAUUUUAAAGUUGUGAGGGUCAUUUGGGUCUAGAGUAGACAAUAACUACAUGGUUGGGUGCGGGUCGUUACAAAUGAUAUCAGAGCCGAUCCUCAACCUCAAUGUGGGAGUUUGUUUGGUCCCGUAGGGGGUGUUUGUUUGUUUGGUCUAAUAAUCACAUGGAACACAACGAGGAAAUUAUGUCUUUAUGGGAGGGAGUGUUUAUGGCAUCCCACACUGGAUAUGGGAGAAAGUUCUUAGCGCUAUAUAUAUAGAGGUUUUUCUUAACUCUGCAGACGCAUUUUAAAGCUGUGAAAGCCCUAUUGGGUUAAGAACGGACAAUAUCUACAUGGUUAGGUGUGGGUUGUUACAAAUAGUAUCAAAGUCAAUCUCUGACUAUGAUGUGGGGGUUUGUUUCACUCCUUAUGAGGUGUUUGUCUGUUUAACUCCGCAAUCCCAUGGAAUACAAUGAGGACAUUAUGCAUACAUGGUGGUGGUUUGUGACAUCCCACAUCAAAUAGGGGAGAAAGUUUUUGGCACUACAUAUGUAUGGACUCUCCUCUUAAGUAAGUAGACGUAUUUUAAAGUUGUGAGGGCUCAUUUGGGUCCAGAGCGAACAAUAUCUAUACGGUUGGGUGCGAGUUGUUACAAAUGGUAUCAGUGCCAAUCCUUGACCACGGUGUAGGGGUUUGUUUGGUUCUGUAAUCUUAUGGGACACAACAAAGACGUUGUGAUUGCAUGAGAGAGAGAGAGAGAGAGAGAGAGAGGUUUGUGACAUCCCACAUUGAUUACUACUCAAAAAGUACUCUUUUAUAGCUUGAAACUAAUUGUUUUAAACACUUUUGAGUAGUAGUUAAUACAUUUUAACUCAAUUGGCACAUUAUGGAACCUAGCAAGGGUUACUAAUCAGUUUUUAGCAAGUUUUGGUGUUUUUGGUAGCUAUUUGAUCAUUGAAACAAGCCAAGAAUGAGGGAGAAUUUUGUGAAAUCCAUGGCAAUGCAAGUUGAAGCUCAAAUACAUGAAGAAUCCGAGCUUUGGAGCACUUCAUAGCCCUUUGCCAAGACAAUCAGAGAUGCAAGAAAGAAAACCAGAUGAAGUAAUCCAACAACCGGCAUUUUCGCAUGGCUAUGCGAAAAUUUCGCAUAGCAUGCGAAAAUUUAGAGGAGGAGCAGUUGCAGGACUGAGUGAAGGACAAAUUUUGCAUACCCUGUGAAACCAUAAGAGGCAGCCAAAGAAUUUCGUACACUAUGCGAAAUUUCGCAUGGUAUGCGAAAUCUUCUUGUGCACCAACUCCGUUAGAUUUUUAUUUCUAAAUAUUUGGUGUAAUUUCCUAUUUUCUCCUUAUAAUCAACCUAGAUAUUUUCUUUUAUAUCUUUUUAUAUUUUUUUGGUAACAUCUUAGAUAGACACAGAGGGAGACACACAGAUGGAUGGAGAUUCAUUGAACACUUGUAAAUUCCCGUAGUAAGAAAUAUACAGAACUUUUGCUCUGUCUUUCCUUCUCAUUUUAUUUUCACUUUUCUUUUUAGCCAAACAACCUCUGAGGAUGAUUUCUCAAGGGAUGAGUGGCUAGGUUUUAUGUUUCUUGGAGUGAUAGAAGCUAGGUGAAGGACCCGAAUGCAAAGGUGAGAGUUGUCCUUGCUUUAAAUGAAAGUAGUUGUUAACCAUUAGUGGUUUUUAUUUCAAGGUUUAGCUUUAAAUCCCUUAAAAUCACCUUGAAUGACCAAUACUUGGUAAGCUUUUCGGAUUCUAUGGAUGCUUAUUGCUAGAUCCAUGGAUGUCCAUUAGUUAUCAUUUACGAGACAUUGGAAGGUGGUUCAAGGUGAGAAUCACCUUGAAUGGCCAAUACUUGGUAAGCUUUUCGGAUUCUAUAGAUGUUUAUUGCUAGAUCCAUGGAUGUCCAUUAGUUAUCAUUUACAAGCCAUUGGAAGGUGGUUUAAGGUGAGGGUCUUUAGUGUUUAAAGCCAUUAAUGGGAAACAAUUACCAUUUUUCAUGAACCUUUUGGAUCAAAUCUUAAUUGCUAAAUACAAAACCGGUUCGGGAAAUAACCAUCUUUUAUGUUAUUGUCCCCAACGCAAGGAGAAGAUCCGGAAUCUCCCCCUUUGCCUAAAGAACCCGAUCCUAGUGACCUAAAGCUCCAAGAGACUUUUUCUUUGUAGUUAACUUCACUUAUUAUUUUUGCUUAACUUAAAAUCAAUCUUUGCAACCACAAUUCCAUUUUCUUUAAAAGCUAAUUUUCAUAAGGAAAAACACCAUUUUAUUUCCUUCACUAGAGUCAACUGUACGAUGAAAACCCAUCCCUGUGGACGAUCCUAGAGCCACUAUACUAUGUUAGCUAUGCUACCUUAGUGUAAGGUGAUUUAGGCUUUAUAAAUUUUGUUGAUAACACCCAUCUAGGCCAAAAUCAAAUGGCACGACUGUAAUGGGGACGAAUCACACAUUGACAAAUUUUAACGACAAAUUGGUCAUGUAAUGGUUUGAAAAAUGUCUAUGAAAUAUAUGAGAUCAUGCUAAAAUUUUGAUAUGAAAUUUAGUUUACUAAAUUAUUAUGUUUGAAUUUUUUUUAUUUCUUGUUUUGUUUUAUUUUUUUAUUUUCUCAUUUUUGGCAUUUCCCUUAUGGGGCUAUGGAUUUGCUAGAUCCUAAGACUAGUAAAGUCUUUAAGGUUAAUGGCGAUAGGGUUAAGCCAUUUGUGGAGGGAAUCAAUGAAGUUGGGGAUCAAAUCCCCUUUCAAAUUAAUGUUGCUCACUAGCCCAAAUGAGUUCUUCUUCAUUUUGUACAUAGUUGGAGCUUUCAGGGAGUGUGUGCGUUCAUUUCUUUUGGUGUUAUUAUUUAUUUUUCUUUAUUUAGGUGGGUUGCUUCAUAAUUUUAAUCUCAAAUGGUGCAAAACAUAUGUUCUUCUGAUGGAAAGAAUGGGAGAUGGCAGGUGCUAGUUUGCUGUGGAUUCGAAGUCUUUCGAGAUUUUGAUCAACAUUGUUGGAGGGGGAGCUUCGUGGUAUCAUCUUGGAGAAAAGUAGAGGCUUCUCCACUUGGAUAAGGUUUGACGAUUCUAGUUUGAGGUGUUUUCUGGAGGGAGUGGAAGUUUGCUGUAGGGAGGAGAGGCUUGGGAAAGUUGUAAAAAAUUGGGAAAAUGAGAGAAAGAGAUUUAGAUUGAAAAAAUGUGCUAACGAGGUGGGGAGGUACAUUCUUUGCUAUGGUCGUAAUUUGGAAGCAAAGAGGUUCUGUUUGGUAUUUCUGGAUGGUAGAAGGAUUCUAGAAGGGUGGGUUUUGCUAGUUGACAAGCUNNNNNNNNNNNNNNNNNNNNNNNNNNNNNNNNNNNNNNNNNNNNNNNNNNNNNNNNNNNNNNNNNNNNNNNNNNNNNNNNNNNNNNNNNNNNNNNNNNNNGGGGGGGGGGGGUGAGUUUUUGGAAUUUGGGAGGUGACUUCUUUCUUACAGAAUUUGAGGUUGUAGAGGAAGCUGAAAGAGUGCUACGAAGAGGGAUUCGACAUUUUAAGGAUAAGACGUUUCAUCUAGAGAGGUAGGGACCCGAGGUAGGUUGUUUUUGCCCGGAGUUCAUGCAAAUCACUAUUGGGUGAGGGCGGUGGGGCUUCCUCUAAAUUUAUAAAACUAGAAGGUGUUCAGGAAAUUGGAGGAUAGUCGCGAAGGGUUGAUUGCUGUGGAUGAUGACACGUCUAAAUUUGUGCAGCUUCAGUGAGCUAGGCAUUUGUGAGGACGUAAGGGAAGAUUUACUUGGGUCGUUACAUUUGGUGGUGGGUUCCUUAUGUUUUGCAAUCUAGCUAUUGUGGGAAGUGCCACCUUGGGUGUCAGUGGUGGUGCCGACGCAAGGGAAGGAGUGGUCGAAUGUUAGAAAUGAAAGAGGUUUGGAUUCACACGUUUGGAGCAGCGUGGGGCCAUCGUGGGUGCAAGGGCAGACUCUAAGGGAUGGAGUAGUAGGGCCAGUUGGUGAAGGUAGAGCUUAGCAGAUGGGAGUUAUUUCUAAUCAGUAUGGCAUGAGUAUGGUCGAGGGUGCCGAGGUAGGUGUAGGAAAUGAUGGGAAUGGGAAGGGGAAGGGGAAUGAGAAAAGAGUAGUUGAGGUUACUAGUGUUAGUUCAUAUGAUGGAGUGAGAUUAAAGGGGAAAGGAAGUUGGCCUAGAGUGCUUUGGGUCGAGUCGGACAAGGUGAGAAACAACGAGCUUUUGAGAGCCCAGGAUUCCUGUCAGCGGGUUGUUGUUAAGUUUGGGCCUGUAGUCCAUGAGGUUCUUAGGAUGGACUUUUCUUUGGGGAUAUUAGGAGCCGUUGGGCUUGGGGACUCAAGCCAGUCCAACUUUCCAACUAUUAGUCAAGAGGGUCUAGCCUAGAUGACUGUUACUGGAAGAUUAAAUAGGGUUAGGGCUCCUAUUGUUGAGUCUUCGUGUUUGGAAAGGAGGCUCAUUGAAGCAAUUCUCAGUGUUGUGUUGUUGGCUAAAGAAAGAGGAAAGUUUAGAGCAUAUGAGUCCCUAUUGGAGGAAGCUUCUAGGUACUCCCAUUUUGAGACUUGCUCUUUUCUUAGCCUUGAGGGUCAAGGUUCUUCUUCUUCUUUCUGUGGAGGGAAAAAAGAGGUGGUGGUUACUAACCAAGACCUUGUGGCAUUCAAGGGCCAUCCUAUGUGAACGGAAAGGGGUUGGUUGACCCAUUGAGAGUAAUCCGGGUAGAUGGGAGGGAGAGGGGAGUUUCGAUCGAUUUGGAAGAGGGAACCAAAAAAUAUGAUGGGAGAGCGUUGCUAGCAAAAGAUGUGGAAAGAGUUUUGGAGGAGGAAAAAAUGAGUGUUUUGGGUUUGUGGAUAAAUGGUAGUUUCGUGAAACUUUGUCAUUGUCUGGGUAUGCCUACUGAGGGGUUUGAGGGGGAAUUUCGUUGCUUUUGAGAAAAAUGGAAGAGAGGAAAAAUCUUAAGGGUGUUUCGACCGAAAAAAGAAGGAAAAUACAAAAGGUUUCUAGAUCAGAGAAGGAAUUGAAAAAACUUAAGUGCUCAGUGAAUUACAGUGGUGCUAGGAGAAAUGCGGGGAUACUUCAGUUUGCUAACUAAAGUUGGUGUCUUUUUGGUGCUGAGAGGUAAGUGAGGUUUUUCUAGGUUUGUGUAAUGAAGUUAAGAAUAUUAUCGUGGAACGUAAGAGAGGCUAAUGAUUAUGAGAAAAGAAAGGUGAUCAAGGCAUUGAUUAAAGAUCAAAAUGUGGAUUUGGUGUGCUUGCAGGAGACUAAGAUGCAGGAGAUGUCAGAAAGGAUAGUGUGGACCCGCAUUUUUCACGUGCGUCCCCACUCGAUCGACGAGACUCGCUUUUUAUUUGUGAAAAAUUGAUUUUUGAAAAAAAAGUUGGAGUCGCCACUUAUUUUAUUUUUAUUUUUGAAGGGAAAAUAAAACAAGAAAUAAAACCCUAAAAAAAUUGACUCCAUAAUUUUUGGAAAAGCGUGUCUUUGAAAAACCCGAGUCUAAGUCCGGGGAUCAGGUUACUUAUUGGGAAGGUACCUCUAGGAGGUAGCACCCCUCUAAGCCCUAAAGAGGUCUCUACUGACUAAGUUAAGGGAAGCGUGGCAAUUAAAUGGUUGAUCUUGGAUACCUAAGUAGGCUAGGUGAUUCCAAAAAAAAACAUAACAUAUCAAACAAGAUCAAAUCACAAUUAAGGAGAGUUAAAAAUGCGUACCUGGACGGCUUCCCAAGCGCUAUCAUAAAACAUAAGAGAUUAGUUUGGAGAUACAUCACACAACAUUUGUUUUAUCAAAGAUAAUCAAACAAUCAUCAAAUGUAUAUCAAGGCAAUUAAAGAGGAUAGCAAGCAUGGACAUACAUAUUCAUAGGGUUUAGAAAGUGGGUAUUAUGGAACGUACCUGGAUAGCAUAUUUAACUCCUAAUGCGCUUCCACAAAACAUGAGAGGUUAGAUAACAAACAAUAAAAUAAGAAGUCCUAGCAUGCUCGUUAUCUAAUUAUCAUAGCAGAAAUUGUCAAAAUAUAUGAAAACAAUAAUUAUCACACUCAUCCUGUAUACCAUUUCUAAAAAAAAGAUAGACAUAAUUUCAACAAGUGACAAAAAUGGCAAUAAAAAUAAUUUUUGAAAAGAUUUUCUUAUGUAGGGGUUUCACCAAUUCCCCAAAUUAAUAUACACAAAUUUAGCCCAGAAUUAUCCCAUUAUUUGGGACCACAAGCUUUGAUUCGUGUUUUUGUUCAAAACCAAACUUUUUGUUAGAAACCGAGAAGGAUGCAAACCGAACAAAAUAUGGUUGCAUAUUAUUUUUUAAAAUAAAAAAAAAGAUUUUGAUCCUGAGGACUCUAAAUGAGUUUUUGAAAUAAAUUUUUAAAAUGAUUUUUUGAGAAAAGUAUUUUAUUUUAAAAUAAAAGGAAUUAAUUUGGAAAAAAUAAAAUAUAAGAAAUAAAAUACCAAACAAAACAAAAAUGAAACCUCAAAGUAAAAUUUUUUAGUAAUUAACAAAAAUGAUAAUGGUGAUGGUAGAGACCAAUCUUCAUGAUUUUCCAAUGGCCUCUAAAAAUCAAAUUUAAUAAAUAUUCAUCAAAGCAACAAACCAAACGACUUUAGAUCAAAUAAAACUAAUGAAAUAUUAAUCGGGAAUUUAUAAGGAUCAAUCAAACACAUAAAUUGAGAUAAACAAUCUAGAACUAAUUUAAAAUCAACCAAACACCUAAACAUGUAAUUAUAAUAAUGUGAAUAUAGUAACACAAGCACAUAGAAUUCUAAAACAUAUUAACUAAUCAAAAACUAGAAUCAUCAAUUUUAGAACGUGAGCAAAAUAACAUAAGAUUAGUUAAACUAAUUAACCUAUUAGAAAAAAAAAAAAAGCAUGAACUAAAUAUUGAUAAACCAAGAAUGAAGAUUAGUAUACUCAAAACAUGAAUAAUACGACUUAGGGUUAAUUAAAUUAGUUAUCUAAAACUUUGGAAAACAUACAAACUAAAAGUGGAUCAACCAAGAAUUAACCAAAUAUUUCUUAAACUAAUCAACUUAAAUCCUAAAAAGGAUGAAUCAGAAAAAUGAUUUACAAUUUUUUUUUUUAAAAAACAUAAAUUUAAUUAGAUGGGAUCAAAUAGACUAAUGAGCUAAAAUUCUAAAAUAUCUAAACUAAAUAAGAUGAACCAAAACAAGAUCAAAAUAAACUUAAAAACAUAAACUUUAUUACAUAGGAUCAAUUAGAAUGAUAGACUAAAAAUUAUAAAACACUUGAACUAAAUAAAAAGCUGACUCAUAAAAAAACUGACUUUUAAAAUUAAAUCUAUUAAAACCGAUCUAAGCAAAAUUCUAACUUUUCGAACUAAGCAAGGAAUCAAAUCCAAACUACACAAAGAUUCUAAUUUUUCAAUGUAAUAUAAUGAAUCAAAAUUAAAAUAAAACAAAAAAUUCUCACCUUUUAAACCAAAGUAAUGAAUCAAAACUAAGCAAAAAAAAAUUUACUUUUCAAUCUAAUAUAAAAAAAAUCAAAACUAGAUUAAACAAAAUUCAAACAUUUCAAAAAUAACGCAAGGAAUAAAAAAUAAAUUAAAUAAAAUUUUAACCUUUCAAUCUAGUUCAAUGAAUAAAAAAUUGAAUCAAACAAAAAUUCUAAUUUUUCGAGACAAACAUAAUGAAUUAAACUUAAACUAAACAAAACCUAACUUUUGAAACCAUGACAAUAAAUCAAAAUCAAACUAACUACAUCCUAACUUUUUCAUCCGAUUAAAAAAAAAAAUCAAAAUUAAUACAUAAAAACUCUAACUUUCAAUCCAAUAAAAAAAUUAAAACUAAAAUCCUUAGAAAUUCUAACUUACCUUCUCUAGAGUUCCUCUAUGGUGGUGCGGCUGCUAGUGCUCAAUGGUGAAUGUGUGGUGGCUGCCUCCUUCCUCUUCCUUCUCACCGGCCUCUCUUUGUUCCCUAAAAAUAAUAUCUCUCCGUGUCAAUCUCUAAAAAAAUAAAUCCUUCCGUUGCUUCCAAAAAAUAAUAUCUCUCCGUGUGGAUCUCCAAAAAAAAAUCCUUCCUCCUAUAUGGCAGCCUCCUCCUUUAUACAUAUAUGAGUUGCCUUCUUUUUAUUUGGAAAGUUCGUCUUCUCCCAAUUGUGCAUGGCUUUUCCUAGUAUGGAAAAUGUGAUUGCCAAUAUACCGAAUGCAUGAUUCUGUCCUCCAAAAAAAUAUCUCAUGCAACCACAAUAUUUUCUUAUUAAAAAUUCAGCUUCCCAUAAAUUCUCUAGUGUCAUUGAACUCCAAUUUCGAAUUGCAUAAAGAUACCUCUUAGACUUUCUAUCACACCCCAUUUCAUCAACCCUCCUCACAGAAUCUUUAAUACUCUCCGGCUUAUGCAGCAAAAAUCUCGGGAAGCUAAAUACAACUUUCUUUAUCUGUGUCGUGCUGAUUCCACAACUCUUCAUGAAUUCAAUAUUAGGUUUCAAGGUCUUCCCUAAAUCAUGUUUCAGAAACCGCGCACAAAUCUUCAAAACCUUAGAGACAUCCGAGUUCGAACCCAUAACACUCUGCAAUGCUACAAUUGAUGGCAGCAAGCCAUUAUUAGCACUCCUAUUUAAGAUCCACGGGUCUUGCGAUAUAAUAUAAGCAAUGUCGGUGGGCGUACAGCCCAAAUCCUGGAAAAUCUUGAUUUUGGGCUUGAUGGUCUUGUCAAGGUUGGCAGAGAGAACACGGGGGACUCGUUUGACUGUUUUCUCGAGAUGGGUCUGGGAAAAGCCGCUUUCCUUGAGGAAUGCUAGUAUGGAAUCAGACUUCUCGGGCUUUUUCAAAUGUUAUCACAGAAGCGGCCGUUAGAGCGGUUUCUUGGGAGAACUGGUGCCGCUUGAUCAAGUAAUCGGCAGUAGAGACGGGGAUAGCUGGUUUUUUUUUUUUUUUUUUUUUUGGGGUCCGGAGGAGGAGAAGAAGAGGAGAGAGAGGGAGCAGGAGAAGUGAGGUUUGUUGGUGGAGGCAGCGCAGAAGCAGUGGUCGCCGGAAGAGGAGCGAGCUUGGGUAGUUAUUGUUCAGCGUGGAGUUCCGGUUCGACGAUUUCUUCUUGGCAACGUUGAGGAGAUACCUGUCCACGCUGGGUUUUAGUCAAGAAGGUGAGCCUUUUCAUGUUGGUCGCGGUGGAGGCGAUGAUGGUGGCGAACUCUGUCGGCAGUUGUGAACUUCCCCUUUUUCAAUGCAAAAUUCCAGAAGCACUAGCAGUCCUGUUGCGGCUUCUUUUUUAUAUCGGCAUCAGAAGUCACUAAAACUCCAGUUGUCAUUCACCCUCAGGCGUGGUAUGCAUGCCCCCAUGUCCACAUGUUCUUCACGCCAGAUCAUCCUCUCCAGAGACUUCCAGAGAAACUCCAAAAAUGCCUGACCUCCUAUGCCUUGCUCACGUGACAGCUGCAUCAACUUCAUCCUUCUUUAAAAUUCCUCUUCCCAUGCAAAAUAUAAUAGAAUAAUAGUAUAAAAAAAAAUUAAAAGGAAACUAAAGAAACUAAUGAAAUUAGUAAUAAAAUAGAAUAUGAUUUCAAAAAAAAAGGCAAAGGAAUAAUGAGAGCUUAGAUAAUAUCAUUUCCUCCUUCAAUAAUAGGGUCACAUGCGUAUUUAAAGUAUAAACAAUUCAAGCAAUUUUUUUUAUUAAGUAAAUAAAUAAAAAUAAAUAAAUAAAUAAAGACAAUUAAAUACAUGAAUAAAUAAAUAAUAAAAAGUAAAAGUAAAAAAUGAAUAGACAAAAUAAAUGUAAUUAUCAAAUACAUGCCAUAAUAAUAAUAAUAUUGUAUAUAUAAGAAAUAAUAACAAUAAAAUGUUGAGCCUCAAUGAAAUGUCUAAAUGGACCUAUUCUGAAAAAGGUGUCUAAGUGACCCAAGUGACGUGUGUAAAUAAGGAGGUGUCUCGGUGCGAGUCAAGGUGAAUCUAGGUGGGCCUAGGGUGCCUAAAUGGACCUAGGGUGCCUAAAUGGGCUUAAGUGCCUAAGUGGGCCCAGGGUGCCUAAGUGGACUUAAGAUGGUGCUUAAUGGGCCAAGUGCAUCUCAAAACUAUCCUAGAAAUGAAUGAAAAGUCUAAUUCUAAAUUAGGGCUGCCAAAGGUCACAAUAAGGGGUCAGAUAAUCCCUCAACCAAAGUCUCUGAGGUGGCUCAAGAAAGAUAAGUAGUAUGAGUAGCUAUGGGCCACCAAGGAACUACUAUAAAGUAUCGAAUAAGUAUCUAAUAGGACAUGUGCUAGGAGGACAAAAUUGAGGGUCUACAGAUAGUCAGGAGCCUUGGUGUGGGAAGAUGUUUAGAUUGGGAGGCCGUCAACUCGAGAGGGGCCUCUGGUGGAGUGUUGGUGUUUUGAGAUAAUAGGGUGUUACAGUUAUUGGAGGCAGAAGUAGGGAUUUUCUCAGUGUUUUAGUGGUUCAAAAUAUGUGAGGAUGACUUUUGUUGGAACUUCACUAGGGUCUAUGGUCCUACGUUGAAAAAAUAGAGGGAAGAUUUUUUGGAUGAAUUAAAUGCUAUGAGAGGGUUAUGGGGUGGCCCUUGGUGCAUGGCAGGUGAUUUUAAUGUGGUUAGGUUCCCUGUGGAAAGCAGUAUGAGAGGCAGACUAACCUACUCAAUGAAGAGAUUCUUGGAGAUUAUUGAGGAUUUAGAGUUAAGGGACCUACCUUUGCAGGGAGGCUCUUUCACUUGGAAUGGUGGGUUGAAUAAUCAAUCUCAUUCUAUGCUUGAUCGGUUUUUGGUCUCAAAUGAGUGGGAAUGUCACUUUUCAGGGGUUGUGCAGUGUGUUCUUCCUAAACCGGUUUCAGAUUAUUUUCCAAUUCUUCUAGAUGGGGGAUGAGUGAGAAGAGACCCGAUGCCUUUUAGAUUUGAAAAUAUGUGGUUGAAGAAGAAAGGUUUCAAGGAAAAAGUGUAGGCUUUGUGGGAAGGUCUCAGUUUUAGUGGGUCUGCUAGCUUUGUGUUGGUAGCUAAGUUGAAAGCUUUGAAGCCAUUAUUGAGAGACUGGAAUAGGUUGGAUUUCGGUAAAAUGGAAGUCAAUAAGACUUUGGCUUUGAAUCAGGUGGAUUUCUGUGACAAGGUAAAGUUAACCUUGCCUCUUACUGUUCAUGAAUUGGAAGCAAGGAGAGAAGCAAAUGAGGACUUUAAAAAGUGGGUUUUUCUGGAAGAAAUUUUGUGGAGACAGAAAUCAAGGAAAGUUUGGCUGAGUGAGGGGGAUAGGAACACUAGUUUCUUCUAGAGGAGAAUGGGGUUAGAAAUGGUGUGGUGAAUGAGUUUAAGUUGUUGAUGUCUGUUGCAAGAUGAUGGAGACCCAAUAUAAGUGGGAUGUCCUUUGAGAAGUUGGAGUCUAUGGAUGCAACUAGACUGGAUGAGCCGUUUUCAGAGCAGGAGGUGCUAGAAGCUCUUAAGGGCUUUUGUGGGGACAAAGCGCUUGAGCCUGAUGGUUUUCCUAUGGCUUUUUGGCAAUUUUCUUAGGAUUUUGUGAAGAAGAAGAUCAUGGAUUUUUUGUAGGGAGUUUCAUAACCAUGGUCGGUUUGUUAAAAGUCUAAAUGCAACGUCCUUUGUUUUGAUCCUAAAAAAAAAAAAAAAAAAACAGAAGACUUAAGGGACUUCAGGCCUAUUAGUUUGGUGGGAGGGUUGUAUAAGUGACUGGUUAAAGCUAGUGGUGGGUAAGGUGGUCUCUAAGGCUCAAAAUGCUUUUGUGGAAGGAAGACAAAUUUUGAAUGUUGUCUUUGUUGUUAAUGAAGUUAUAGACUCGAUAUUGAAGAGCAAUGAAGGGGCGGUGAUGUGUAAGUUGGAUAUAGAAAAUGCGUAUGAUCAUGUGGACUGGUCCAUCUUGUUUUCAGUCAUGAGUAUGAUGGGUUUUGGGGAGAAAUGGAUCCGGUGGAUGCAGUGGUGUAUUUCCACAGCCAACUUUUAUGUUCUGGUUAAUGGGUCUUCUUCAGGUUUCUUCCAAAGUUCUAGGAGUUUAAGGUAGAGGGAUCGCCUCUCUUCGUACCUAUUUGUGAUGAUUAUGGAGGUUCUUAGUUGUCUCUUAAGGUGUGCAGUAAAUGAGGGUUUUUUGUUAGCCUUUAAGGUGAGGAGUAGAGGAAGUGAGGGGGUUCAGGUGUCUCAUUUACUUUUCGCUGAUGAUACUUUGGUUUUCUGUGGAGCUUCUAAGGAUCAAUUGUUGUAUUUAAGUUGGAUUUUAAUGUGGUUUGAGGCCAUGUCGAGGUUGAGAAUUAAUCUGGAUAAAAGUGAGUUAAUAUCAAUGGGUGGUGUGGAAAACACGGAGGCUUUGGCCACAAAUCUUGGGUGUAAGGUUGGAAGUCUUCCGUCCACUUAUUUGGGAUUGCCAUUAGGUACGCCUCAUAGAUCUGUGGCUGUUUAGGAUGGAGUGGAGGAUGCAGAAGAAAUUGGCUAGAUGGAAGAGCUAAUACAUUUCCAAAGGAGGAAGGAUGACCUUGAUUCGGAGCACUUUGGCGAGUAUGCCCAUUUACUUCAUGUUUGUGCUUUUUAUGCUUAGAAAGGUCAGAUUGAGGAUACAGCAGAUUCAGAGGGAUUUUUUGUGGGGAGGUGAGACCCUUGAGUAGAAACCUCAACUUGUUCGGUGGGGUUUGGUUUGCCUAGAUAAGAGCAAAGAGGGGUUGGAGGUAAAAUACCUUUCUACCCUCAAUAAGGCACUUUUGUGUAAAUGGAGCUGGAGAUUUGAAAAAGAGAGAGAGGCCUUUUGGAAUCAAGUGAUCAGGGGAAAGUAUGGGGAGGAGCAAGGGAGUUGGUGUUCUAAGUGAAGAGUGGAUAUGGUGUGGGGUUAUGGAAAACAUUUAGGAAAGAGUGGAGUGUUGUAAGUAGUAGACUCUAUUUUGUAGUGGGAAAUGGGUAAAAGGUGAAAUUCUGGAAAGAUAGAUGGUGUGAGGAUGAACCUCUUUGUGUUUCUUUUCCCUCUUUAUUUGAUUUAAUUGUCUUCAAGGAUGCUUGGGUAAAAGAUGUGUGGUGUUCCAAUGAGGGUGGGGGGAGUUGGAGCCCACACUUCUCCAAACCGUUUAAAGAUUAGGAGAUGGAUGAGGUGUGCAGAUUCUUUUUGGGCCUUAAUGGGAAGAGAGUUCGACAGGCAGUGGAAGAUAGGGUGAUUUGGAGAGAGACUAAAUGUGGGAAUUUUUCUGUUAAGUCUCUCUACAAAUCAUUAGUUUCAGGCCUUCCAGCCUUUUUCCCUUCGUUGGCCAUUUGGAAAGUUUAUGUGCAAUCUAGAGUGAGUUUUUUUUUGGGUAGGAAGCAAUGUGGGGAAAGGCUCUUACCUUGGAUCAACUUCAAAAGAGAGGAUGACCUUUAGCUAACAGAUGUUAUCUUUGUCAAAGGCACGAAGAAUCAAUAGAUCACAUUUUUCUCCACUGUGCCAAGGCAAAGACUCUUUGGGCGUUGCUUUGCUCUCUUUUUAGGGUGCAGUGGGCGCUGUCGGCAAGAAACAAAGUUGUCUUUGAGGAAGAAGAGUUGUCAAUCCAAAGACUUAAGAAUUCUUUUAUAUAUUUCCUUUGGUUAGAGACGAAACUAUUUAUAAAAGAUGGUCCUUGGACUUUAGUUGAUUUUAUUGAUUGGGUGGGAACCUAUUGAGGGUGGGGUUCGGGCUGCACCUCCGUCCUUAGCAUCCAACUAAGGAGUGGGUUCUUCUUUGUAAUCUUUAAGUCGUUGCUUUGACAAUUUUUUAAUACAAUUUUAUCAUUUACUUAUAAAUAAAAAAAAAAUUAAUCUCAAUAGCUCUCUUUGCAUAACUUCUUGUAGACUUGUGGAUUCCAUAGUUGUUUGUGGUUGUUGCCUUUUUUUCUCAAGUACUAAAUUUGUACACCACCACACCCCCCCCACAAAAAAAAAAAAAAAAAAAAAAAAUAGUGCACUAAGGGGCUUGAAUUUGAAAGAGAGGACACUCAAGGUCCAAUUUUAAUAAAUCUUACUUUAUAUAUUUUGUAUAAUAAUUACAUACAAAAUAAAUAUACUUAUAAAUAUAAUUAUAAAUAGUUUUAAAAAUAAUUAUACAUAUCAUCAUUAUCAUUUUUUUUUAUAUCCUUAAACUUAUCCAAACUAAGAAUUAAAUGUGUGUUUUCAAAUUCCUUAAAUUAUUAUCAAAUGUCACAUAUUUUAUAAGUUAAUAUACAUUAUUUUCUUCACUAAGCUAGCUUCAAUAUGUGCAUUAGUAGUUGUUUUAUCAUUUUCUGUAAGUUUCAAUAUUUUUUAGUUUGAUCAAUUUUCGUUUUACUGAUCUUUUUUUAUUUGAAUUUGGGUCCCUUGUUUCCAAUAUUUCUCUUUGUUUCCCUAAAUCCAAGUAUUCAUAUUUUCAUAAAUUCUCAUAUUCAAAAUGGGAUAAAUUAAUGGGAUGAAUUAGAUAAUAACAGCAUUAGUCAAGUCAUCCCUGGAAGUUUUAUUGAAAGAGAAUUUUGAAACAUAAAGUCGUGAAGUAGAAACCACGCUUGGCACUCUAAUGAAACAUAAAAUUAUUCAGUAGCAACUACAUUUUAAUAGUAGAAUCAAACAUACAAAAGUUCAUUUAUUCGGACACUGGACUUAGCUUAUCAACCCCUUAACCGAAGAAAAGGGACAUGCUCUCCAAUGAAAUAAAAGAGCAGUUCUCGGUAAUAGGAGUUCAAGUAGAGAAAAGCAACGAUGCAUAAGAAUGCCACUCCGUAUGAUCCUCCAAAACUCCAUAAGAAUAUGGCUUCCCAAGAGCUAUUUUCUCUGUUGUCUGAAACUGGUGGUUUGACUGCAGGUGGGGCACUAGUGGGAGUGCAACUUUGAUCUAAUGGCAGCCCACAUAGAAGAGGGUUGCCCUCGUAACUGCUUUGUUCAAAUGUUGCAAACUGAAACUUCCUCUCUGGAGUCUUACCUGAUAAAUUGUUGUGAGCGACAGUGAAAAUCGUCAAGAAGUUUAACUCUAUUACCAUCUGUGGUGGAAUUUGACCUGUCAAUCUAUUGUGGGAUAGGUCCAAGCUUUCUAUUUCCUUUAGGUUGGAAAAUGUAUGUGGAAUAGAUCCUGUCAACUGGUUGUACGAUAAGUUUAGAGUAUGAAUCCCACUUAGAUUUCCAAUUUCUGGAGGAAUUGGACCUGCCAAUUUGUUCCCUGAAAGAUCCAAUCCAGACAUGAAGUACAAGAUGUUUCCCAUAUAAGAUUCGGACCUACUCUUUGUUAUGAACUCUAUUUCUUCACUUUCAGCGGAUGUCUCAAAACUGAAAUCCAUAUCCACGUACACAGAAAGUUGAUUUUCAUAUGAAUAUGUUUCUGGGGAAGCACCCCACCACGACUCAAAGCCUUCUAUAAAAAAUGUGUCAUCCAUUAAUGCAACUUCUCUUCCAAAAGUUAUAUUAUCUAGGCAAGGAGGUAUGGAUCCGGAAAGAUGAUUAUGAGAAAGAUCCAGUAUGCUGAUUGAUUUGAGCUGACACAAAUGAAGAGGAAUUGAGUCUUCAAGUUGAUUUCCUUUCAAGAGAAGAACCCUCAAUUUUGAAAGUAAACUAAUCCAAGGGGGAAUUGGGCUUGAUAGUUUGUUAUCCCUCAAAUUCAAUGUCACAAGAGAGGUAGCUUCAGCCAGAACAUGGGGUAUAGGUCCUAUUAGUUCAUUGCUUUCCAAAUGUAAAAACUUCAUGUUUGUUAGAUUGGCACAAAGAGGAAGGGUUGGGCCAAUUUUGUUGUGAGAAAGGUCUAAAAAGCGUAGUUCAUUGAGUUUGCAAAAGCCUGUUGGCACAACACCAUCCAAAUAAUUUCUAGACAAGAUAAGUGUCCUCAAGGCUGAGAAGUCUCCAAUCGAAUCUGGAAUUUGACCCAUCAACG
rnacentral:lncRNA from 1 species